AGUAAAAUCUCUUAUCCUACUAUAUUAUUUGGGAAGUACAUUUAAAAUGUAACCUUAUUUUUUGUAAGUAAUUACAUAGGUAUGCCAUUAGAAAUAAAAUUUAAAGAGUAAAUUAAUUCAAUUUUAAACAUAGGUAUGCCAUUAGAAAUAAAAUUUAAAGAGUAAAUUAAU
rnacentral:sRNA from 1 species